AGCAGCCGCGGUAAUUCCAGCUCCAAUAGCGUAUAUUAAAGUUGUUGCAGUUAAAAAGCUCGUAGUUGAAUUUCGGGAUCAGCAGGUCGGUCGUGCCACUGGUAUGCACUGGCCUUGCUGAUUCCUCCCUCUUGAUGAGCCGUAAUGCCAUUAAUUUGGUGUUGCGGGGAAUCAGGACUGUUACUUUGAAAAAAUUAGAGUGUUUAAAGCAGGCAAGCGCUUGAAUACAUUAGCAUGGAAUAAUGAAAUAGGACGUUCGAUCCUAUUUUGUUGGUUUCUAGGAUUGACGUAAUGAUUAAUAGGGAUAGUUGGGGGCAUAGUAUUCAAUUGUCAGAGGUGAAAUUCUUGGAUUUAUUGAAGACUAACUACUGCGAAAGCAUUUGCCAAGGAUGUUUUCAUUAAUCAAGAACGAAAGUUAGGGGAUCGAAGACGAUCAGAUACCGUCGUAGUCUUAACCAUAAACUAUGCCGACUAGGGAUCGGAUGAUGUUAAUUUUUUAAUGA
rnacentral:sRNA from 1 species